CCUACGGGUGGCAGCAGUGGGGAAUAUUGCACAAUGGGGGAAACCCUGAUGCAGCAACGCCGCGUGAAGGAAGACGGUUGUCGGAUUGUAAACUUCUAUCAAUAGGGACGAAAGAAAUGACGAUACCUAAAUAAGAAGCCCCUGCUAACAACAUGCCAGCAGCCGCGGUAACACGUAGGGGGCAAGCGUUAUCCGGAAUUACUGGGUGUAAAGGGAGAGUAGGCGGCAAGGUAAGCGAUAUGUGAAAGCCUUAAGCUUAACUUAAGGAUGGCAUAACGAACUAUCUAGCUAGAGUACAGGAGAGGAAAGCGGAAUUCGUAGUGUAGCGGUGAAAUGCGUAGAUAUUAGGAAGAACACCAGUGGCGAAGGCGGCUUUCUGGACUGAAACUGACGCUGAGGCUCGAAAGCGUGGGGAGCGAACAGGAUUAGAUACUCGUGUAGUC
rnacentral:rRNA from 1 species